rnacentral:rRNA from 1 species
ACGAACGCUGGCGGCGUGCUUAACACAUGCAAGUCGAACGGUGAAGCGCCUUCCUUUUUGGUGGGUGUGGAUGAGUGGCGAACGGGUGAGUAACACGUGAGUAACCUGCCCCCUUCUUCUGGAUAACCGCAUGAAAGUGUGGCUAAUACGGGAUAUUCUGGGUCUGUCGCAUGAUGGGUCUGGGAAAGAUAUUGUUUCGGUGGGGGAUGGGCUCGCGGCCUAUCAGCUUGUUGGUGGGGUGAUGGCCUACCAAGGCGGUGACGGGUAGCCGGCCUGAGAGGGUGGACGGUCACACUGGGACUGAGGCACGGCCCAGACUCCUACGGGAGGCAGCAGUGGGGAAUAUUGCACAAUGGGCGCAAGCCUGAUGCAGCGACGCCGCGUGAGGGAUGGAGGCCUUCGGGUUGUGAACCUCUUUCGCCAGUGAAGCAGGCCUGCCUCGUUUGUGGGUGGGUUGACGGUAGCUGGAUAAGAAGCGCCGGCUAACUACGUG